rnacentral:misc_RNA from 1 species
AAGUCGUAACAAGGUCUCCGUAGGUGAACCUGCGGAGGGAUCAUUACCAGAGAUGGCGGGCCCUCGGGUCCCCGUCCCCAACCCUUUGUUGCAACCAAACCAUUCUUUUUGGCCUCGGGGCAGAGGCGCCUCCGCCCGCCCCGGUGGAACCAACCAACCUGUCUCUGUACGUCGGAGUCUUUGAUAAAUAAAUGAAAA